rnacentral:rRNA from 1 species
GAUGAACGCUGGCGGCGUGCCUAAUACAUGCCAGUCGAGCGAACGGACGAGAAGCUUGCUUCUCUUAUGUUAGCGGCGGACGGGUGAGUAACACGUGGAUAACCUACCUAUAAGACUGGGAUAACUUCGGGAAACCGGAGCUAAUACCGGAUAAUAUUUUGAACCGCAUGGUUCAAAAGUGAAAGACGGUCUUGCUGUCACUUAUAGAUGGAUCCGCGCUGCAUUAGCUAGUUGGUAAGGUAACGGCUUACCAAGGCAACGAUGCAUAGCCGACCUGAGAGGGUGAUCGGCCACACUGGAACUGAGACACGGUCCAGACUCCUACGGGAGGCAGCAGUAGGGAAUCUUCCGCAAUGGGCGAAAGCCUGACGGAGCAACGCCGCGUGAGUGAUGAAGGUCUUCGGAUCGUAAAACUCUGUUAUUAGGGAAGAACAUAUGUGUAAGUAACUGUGCACAUCUUGACGGUACCUAAUCAGAAAGCCACGGCUAACUACGUG